rnacentral:rRNA from 1 species
UGGCGGACGGGUGAGUAAUGUCUGGGAAACUGCCCGAUGGAGGGGGAUAACUACUGGAAACGGUAGCUAAUACCGCAUAACGUCGCAAGACCAAAGAGGGGGACCUUCGGGCCUCUUGCCAUCGGAUGUGCCCAGAUGGGAUUAGCUAGUAGGUGGGGUAACGGCUCACCUAGGCGACGAUCCCUAGCUGGUCUGAGAGGAUGACCAGCCACACUGGAACUGGGACACGGUCCAG